AACGAACGCUGGCGGCAGGCCUAACACAUGCAAGUCGAGCGAGGACUUCGGUUCUAGCGGCGGACGGGUGAGUAACGCGUGGGAAUGUGCCCUUCUCUACGGAAUAGCCCUGGGAAACUGGGAGUAAUACCGUAUACGCCCUUUUGGGGAAAGAUUUAUCGGAGAAGGAUCAGCCCGCGUUGGAUUAGGUAGUUGGUGGGGUAAUGGCCUACCAAGCCGACGAUCCAUAGCUGGUUUGAGAGGAUGAUCAGCCACACUGGGACUGAGACACGGCCCAGACUCCUACGGGAGGCAGCAGUGGGGAAUCUUAGACAAUGGGGGCAACCCUGAUCUAGCCAUGCCGCGUGAGUGAUGAAGGCCUUAGGGUUAUAAAGCUCUUUCAGCUGGGAAGAUAAUGACGGUACCAGCAGAAGAAGCCCCGGCUAACUCCGUG
rnacentral:rRNA from 1 species